rnacentral:rRNA from 1 species
GACGAACGCUGGCGGCGUGCUUAACACAUGCAAGUCGAGCGGUAAGGCCCUUUCGGGGGUACGACGAGCGGCGAACGGGUGAGUAACACGUGGGUGACCUGCCCUCAGCUCUGGGAUAAGCCUGGGAAACCGGGUCUAAUACUGGAUAUGACUCCAUGACGCAUGUUGUGGGGUGGAAAGCCUUGUGCGGCUGAGGAUGGGCCCGCGGCCUAUCAGCUUGUUGGUGGGGUGAGGCCUACCAAGGCGACGACGGGUAGCCGGCCUGAGAGGGCGACCGGCCACACUGGGACUGAGACACGGCCCAGACUCCUACGGGGAGGCAGCAGGUGGGGAAUCUUGCGCAAUGGGCGAAAGCCUGACGCAGCGACGCCGCGUGAGGGAUGACGGCCU